ACACUUACCUGGCACGGGAGAUACCUUAAUCACAAAGGAGUUUUCCCAGGGUGAGACCCAGCCAUUGCACUCCGGCUGUGCUGACCCUGCAAUUUCCCCAAAUGUGGUAAAUUCAACUGCAUAACUUGUGGUAGUGGGGGACUACAUGUGUGCUUUAA
rnacentral:snRNA from 1 species